rnacentral:lncRNA from 1 species
CACCGCGGUGAGGAUGGAAGAGGAAGGAGGAGCCCCCCGCCUCCCCCCGGGAGCGCACCGCCAGCGCCGGCCACCGCCGCCUUACCAAAACUUUUCUCCUUUUUCUGCAUGAGUUGAUUUACGGGCGCCUGGAGAGCUCCUUCUCAUUGAAGCACCAAAUCCCGGCAAAAGUAGCAAGUGCUUCCUCGGCUCGGGUCAAAUGAAAACUUUAAGGAACAAUGAAGGAGAGAGGUACGGCUCUGAAACGUGGGCCUGCUUGAGGAAGCCAGGGUGACAGCUCAGCCCCAGCACUUGACGACCGAGUGACAUCACUGGGAUUUUGAGUUGUGAGAACGCCGUCGUAUGCAGCAGCUGUAUCGAUUUUGGGGUCCAAUCCGACUUGUCCCGAGGGGGAACCCUAUAACUUUGAAAAGUAUCCUGACCCUCACCAUGCAUGAUUUCUCCCAUGGAUUCAGACACUUGAUGAGGAUUUGACAAG